GACGAACGCUGGCGGCGUGCUUAACACAUGCAAGUCGAACGGAAAGGCCCUGCUUUUGUGGGGUGCUCGAGUGGCGAACGGGUGAGUAACACGUGAGUAACCUGCCCUUGACUUUGGGAUAACUUCAGGAAACUGGGGCUAAUACCAGAUAGGAGCUCCUGCUGCAUGGUGGGGGUUGGAAAGUUUCGGCGGUUGGGGAUGGACUCGCGGCUUAUCAGCUUGUUGGUGGGGUAGUGGCUUACCAAGGCUUUGACGGGUAGCCGGCCUGAGAGGGUGACCGGCCACAUUGGGUCUGAGAUACGGCCCAGACUCCUACGGGAGGCAGCAGUGGGGAAUAUUGCACAAUGGGCGGAAGCCUGAUGCAGCAACGCCGCGUGCGGGAUGACGGCCUUCGGGUUGUAAACCGCUUUCGCCUGUGACGAAGCGUGAGUGACGGUAAUGGGUAAAGAAGCACCGGCUAACUACGUG
rnacentral:rRNA from 1 species